rnacentral:lncRNA from 1 species
AAUUUUUCAAAUUUAUAUCCAUCUUGUAUAAAUGCACAUUAAUAUUGCUUAGGUAACGACUAAAUAUAUAAGGAAAAGAAAACAAUUAUAUAUAGAGUUAAUAUAUGGAAGUAGCCACUUUUUUUUUAGUAAACUUAAAAUUUACCCACUCAAAUAAUUUUUUUAAAAAAUACCCACUUUUUGUGUUAAAUGACUAAACUGCCCCUAAGAUUAAAAUUAAAAAAAAUACCCACUAAUACAUCUCACAAAUACACUACACAAUUUAAAAAAAAAAAAAUACAGACGUAGCUCUCUCUAUCUCUUCUCUCUCAUCUUUCUCUCUCUAGGUAUGCGCACUCUCUCUCUCUCUCAUCUCUCCACUCUCUUUCUCUCUUCUCUCUUAACUCCGCUGUCGUCCGACGAUUCCGGCGCCACUUUCUCCCCUCUGAUCAUUGCCAUCAUCGGCGUGCUGGCCAGCGCCUUCCUCCUCGU